UACGAAGGGUGCUAGCGUUGUUCGGAAUGACUGGGCGUAAAGGGCGCGUAGGCGGCCAGAUGCGUCUGAUGUGAAAUCCCUGGGCUUAACCUAGGAACUGCAUUGGAUACGGUCUGGCUAGAGUCCGCGAGAGGAAGAUGGAAUUGUGCGUGUAGAGGUGAAAUUCGUAGAUAUGCACAAGAACACCGGUGGCGAAGGCGAUCUUCUGGAGCGGUACUGACGCUAAGGCGCGAAAGCGUGGGGAGCAAACAGG
rnacentral:rRNA from 1 species